UAGAACUUGAUGGUAAGACCCUAUUGUUGAC
rnacentral:piRNA from 1 species